rnacentral:tRNA from 1 species
CGGGAAGUGGCGCAGCUUGGUAGCGCAUCCGCUUUGGGAGCGGAGGGUCGCAGGUUCAAAUCCUGUCUUCCCGACCA